rnacentral:misc_RNA from 1 species
UCAAACUUGGUCAUUUAGAGGAAGUAAAAGUCGUAACAAGGUCUCCGUUGGUGAACCAGCGGAGGGAUCAUUACCGAGUCGAAGACUCCAAACCAUCGCGAACCUACCGUCGUCGUUGCCUCGGCGGGCGGCUCCAGGGCGGAGCCGUCGGGCCCCCCGGUUUUGGGGGGGUGCCCGCCGCAGGGACCGCAAACCAUGCCGUAUCUCUGGGACCUCUGAGCAGCUGCGCGAGCAGACAGUUACAACUUUCAACAAUGGAUCUCUUGGCUCUGGCAUCGAUGAAGAACGCAGC